CUCCAUUGGUGAACCUUCUCUGCUGCUUCCGCGGAGUAGAAGAAGAAGAAAGGCGGAAAAACAAACUGUGACGGAGCAACAUUUCCUCCCCGUAAUUGUAAUUUUUCAGCCUUAAUGUGAACGUGAGAGGGGCCGCUCGGUGAGUCCUAACUAGUUUAAUGUCGGUGUUCCGCUCGGUGAGCGGAGUUUAACCGGACGGAGGCCGGGAAGCCGCCGCUAUAAACCGUCUGAACGGCUGAAUAUAAACGGGGACGAAAGUCGGCGUUUUCUCGCUGGGUCUCGCCUUCACCGACGCCUCCUGCAGAAAAUGAGCCGAAGCAGGUUCAGUCGGAGUCCCGGAGGUUUAAAGCUGCGGCAGAAACGGGGAAGCGGCGCGGUGAGCCGGGCUCCGCCCCGCUACUAAAGCCGGCGAAGCAAACGGGGCGCCACGAGGGGCGGCGAUUACAGCGCGUCUCCACCCGCGAUGCCGGACGGAGCGGCGGCUGAACUCUCAGCACCGAGGGCUGGAUACAGAAUAAUAUAUUCUGUUUAAUGGAUGGAAACAGGCCAUGAAAUCUAACAAAUCAUUGUCAACAGUUUUCUUUUUCUCUCAACAGCAAUUUGUGACUUUAAUUCAUAAAUAUAUAUUCAUGUUUAUUAAAUACAAAACUUUACAUUAGUAUUUAGAAAAAAAAAUGCCUUUGAAACAGUGUGACUUAAUUUAAUUAGCUUUAUUUGACAGAGACAAUUAAUCGGUGCUGAUGUAAAUGCAGCAGAAUUAGCCAUGAGGCCAUUUAUCAUGCGUUGUACCUGAGCUGAUGGAGAAGUUGUCUCACUAAAAACAACAUUAAAGCGAUUAUAUGCACUCCAAUACACAGCUACAUAAAGCCACACUAUUUAAGUGUUUAUUUAGGUGUUAAUUUAAGCAUUCAGCGUGUCAAACAUGAGGCUGAGCAGAACAUAACCCAAAGCGGACCUGAACUUAGUUUCUAUUGAACCCGUCGUGUUAUUAAUAGGCACAGACACGGUCGCCUGUCUGAGGCGGCCCUAACCUCCCGGGCUCCUGUUUCGUUUUUCGCCGGGCCGGGCCGUGCAAAGUGCAGUUUCUAGCCCUCGGGGUUUGGUCAGAACCGCCAGGCUGAUGGGCGUCGACACGUGGCCCGGACCGUGGUUCUGAUGAACCGCCUGAACGGCAGGUGGAUGUGGCCCAGACCUCAGCUCGUCUCACCGAGUCGUCGUACUUCCUCUGCGGGACGCGCACCAACGCAGCCAAGCUCUCACUCACUUCCCCCUGGCCUCCACAGCAUCCAGACGCCGUGGUCCUGCUGACCUGGACCCGCCUCUUUCCGGGCCUUCAGACUCUCUCUCUCUCUCUCUCUGCCCGGCCCGGUCUGGAGCAGCUCUCUGCUGUUUCUCCCCUCUGCCCUGAAGGGCUCGGCUCCUCGCAGAACCUGCCGGGCCGCUCGCCGCCGCCCUCUAGGAGGAAUGCAGGGAGCCGUUGCGUCAUACCUCCUUCCCUCUGGUUGCUGCCUGCUGGUCUGGCUCGCUGCCUUGCUGCUGACGAGAAGUCUGCAACAGAACCUGGUGAGGCGGGGAGCGGCGGGGAGAGGCGGCGAGAUUCCCCGCUGGGCCCGCGGAGCCGAGGCCGGGCGGGAAACGAGAGCCUGGAGGGGGGGGGCGCGGUUUGGGUCACAGGCUGGUUUCCCUCCAUGUUGGGAUCACAGUGGAGGAAAUGAGAGGAGAAUAAAAGUGGGCUUUGUGAGAACAAGGAGCCGAGUUAAACACGAAACGAUCUUCCCUCCCAGAGAUAAUGACGCCGUAAACGAGCGUCUGCGGCAUGUAGACGUGAGGAAUGAGAAAG